UUGUUUAUUUUGAAUUCUAAUCUCCUGUAGUCCAAGAAAUUCCAUCAUCUGGUACCAGAAUUUUGUAAGAGUUUAUAUUCAAAAUAAUAGAUCAAAUCAUGAUGAAAUAAAAAACCAGAAAAAGGGGCGUACGGAAUCAAACAAUUAAAAAAAGAAAAGGAAAAAGAGGCUCGCCGCCGUCCCUCCUCCUAUCUGGUGGCCGGAGAAGCCACGAGCGGCCGCUUUGGCCGCACCAUCGGUGAGCCGGUGAGCGGCUGUGCUGCCGCAAAGGACCUCUUCCGUCGGUCUUCAAGAAGAAGAGGAUAGAACCGCCAAUCGCCGGGAAACCGGCGGUCGGAGUCGUGGGAGAAGGCGGAGGAUCGCCGUCCAACGGAUUUCAGCGGCCGCUUGCGGUGAUUUGGGUGAGGACGGGCCACCGGAUUUGGCGCCCUGCGCCCUCGCGAGGAAGUGCCGUGAGGAAGAAGAGGAUUUCGUGUGUUUGGCUUCG
rnacentral:lncRNA from 1 species